CCUACGGGUGGCAGCAGUGGGGAAUAUUGGGCAAUGGAGGCAACUCUGACCCAGCAACGCCGCGUGAAUGAUGAAGGUCUUCGGAUUGUAAAGUUCUGUGAUGGGGGAUGAACACAUGGACGGUACCCUAAUAGCAAGCCACGGCUAACUACGUGCAAGCAGCCGCGGUAAUACGUAGGUGGCAAGCGUUAUCCGGAAUGACUGGGCGUAAAGGGUGCGUAGGUGGGUUAGUAAGUUGGCGGUGUAAUUUCGGGGCUUAAACUCGGCGCUACCGCCGAAACUAUUAGACUAGAGUGCAGGAGGGGUAAGUGGAAUUCCAGGUGUAGCGGUGGAAUGCGUAGAUAGUAGGAGGAACAUCAGGGGCGAAGGCGGCUUACUGGACUGUAACUGACGCUGAGGCACGAAAGCGUGGGGAGCAAACAGGAUUAGAUACCCGGGUAGUC
rnacentral:rRNA from 1 species